rnacentral:rRNA from 1 species
CACGUAGGGCGCGAGCGUUGUCCGGAAUUAUUGGGCGUAAAGAGCUCGUAGGCGGCCUGUUGCGUCCGCUGUGAAAGCCCGGGGCUUAACCCCGGGUCGGCAGUGGAUACGGGCAGGCUAGAGGUAGGUAGGGGAGAAUGGAAUUCCCGGUGUAGCGGUGAAAUGCGCAGAUAUCGGGAGGAACACCGGUGGCGAAGGCGGUUCUCUGGGCCUUACCUGACGCUGAGGAGCGAAAGCGUGGGGGGCGAACAGG